CGGGUCGUAACUCAGCCUGUAGAAGUGCUGCGUUCGGGACGCCUAGAUCGCUGGCUCGAAUCCAGUCGACGCGAACA
rnacentral:tRNA from 1 species